rnacentral:rRNA from 1 species
UAGUGGCGAACGGGUGAGUAACACGUGAGUAACCUGCCCCUGACUCUGGGAUAAGCGCUGGAAACGGCGUCUAAUACCGGAUAUGACAAUCGACGGCAUCGUCUGGUUGUGGAAAGAAUUUCGGUUGGGGAUGGACUCGCGGCCUAUCAGGUUGUUGGUGAGGUAAUGGCUCACCAAGCCUACGACGGGUAGCCGGCCUGAGAGGGUGACCGGCCACACUGGGACUGAGACACGGCCCAGACUCCUACGGGAGGCAGCAGUGGGGAAUAUUGCACAAUGGGCGCAAGCCUGAUGCAGCAACGCCGCGUGAGGGACGACGGCCUUCGGGUUGUAAACCUCUUUUAGUAGGGAAGAAGCGAAAGUGACGGUACCUGCAGAAAAAGCACCGGCUAACUACGUGCCAGCAGCCGCGGUAAUACGUAGGGUGCAAGCGUUGUCCGGAAUUAUUGGGCGUAAAGAGCUCGUAGGCGGUUUGUCGCGUCUGCUGUGAAAACCGGAGGCUCAACCUCCGGCCUGCAGUGGGUACGGGCAGACUAGAGUGCGGUAGGGGAGAUUGGAAUUCCUGGUGUAGCGGUGGAAUGCGCAGAUAUCAGGAGGAACACCGAUGGCGAAGGCAGAUCUCUGGGCCGUAACUGACGCUG